rnacentral:rRNA from 1 species
GACGAACGCUGGCGGCGUGCUUAACACAUGCAAGUCGAACGGAAAGGCCCUGCUUGCAGGGUGCUCGAGUGGCGAACGGGUGGGUAACACGUGGGUGAUCUGCCCCUUACUUUGGGAUAAGCCUGGGAAACUGGGUCUAAUACUGGAUAGGACCAUGCUGUAGGUGGUGUGGUGGAAAGAUUAGUUUCGGUAAGGGAUGAGCUCGCGGCCUAUCAGCUUGUUGGUGGGGUAAUGGCCUACCAAGGCGUCGACGGGUAGCCGGCCUGAGAGGGUGGACGGCCACAUUGGGACUGAGAUACGGCCCAGACUCCUACGGGAGGCAGCAGUGGGGAAUAUUGCACAAUGGGCGCAAGCCUGAUGCAGCGACGCCGCGUGGGGGAUGACGGCCUUCGGGUUGUAAACUCCUUUCAGCCAUGACGAAGCCCUUGUGGUGACGGUAGUGGUAGAAGAAGCACCGGCUAACUACGU